UACGGAGGGGGUUAGGUUGUUCGGAAUUACUGGGCGUAAAGCGCGCGUAGGCGGACUAUUAAGUCAGGGGUGAAAUCCCGGGGCUCAACCCCGGAACUGCCUUUGAUACUGGUAGUCUUGAGUUCGAGAGAGGUGAGUGGAACUCCGAGUGAGAGGUGAAAUUCGUAGAUAUUCGGAAGAACACCAGUGGCGAAGGCGGCUCACUGGCUCGAUACUGACGCUGAGGUGCGAAAGUGUGGGGAGCAAACAGGAUUAGAUACCCCUGGAGUCC
rnacentral:rRNA from 1 species